UUUGCUUUCAGUGUUCGACCCUGACAGCAGUUAAGCAAUGUGAUCUGCUUCGAAACCACCUGGAAGGGCCACCAAUUACCAAUUGUCCUUGCCUCUGCCGCCCGUCCUGGCCGACUGCCCAUUUACGAUCACGUUCUGAUCGCCGCCCGUCCUGACUCUCUGCCUGUCCCUGACCACGAUCAUUGCAAGGGCCCGGCCUGCGAUGCACUUGCUUUGCUGCUCUCUCCACCAGGUCGACUCCUGCCCAUCUGCACCCCAGCACGGCAUGGAGAGUGUUCCGCUGCAAAGCCGUUGAUUCCAGUCGACUGCCACACCUCGAGCUGAUCAUCGCCUCGAUCCAGCUAGAGCUCCAGCACUUCAACUCCCCUUCCCCAACCCUCUACAGACCCUUCUCACCCAGGUCACAGUCUGUUCGAACUAUUCCCCUCCGGACGGCAUUACAGAGCGCUGUACGCCAAAACCAGCAGACACAGACACAGCUUCUUUCCCCAGGCUGUCGCUCUGAUGAACUCACACCACUCAUAGAGUCUCAGAGACAUCACUGGGCAAUAAUAUCCUGUUCUUGCCACUUAAAUGUUGUUGGUCACCUGAAUGUUGUUAGUCACUUAAAUGUUGUCCAGCGGCUGAGAUCAACCGGAGUCAAAUUCCUUGUUUGGCAUGCACAAACUUGGCCAAUAAAGGUGAUUCUGAUUCU